rnacentral:SRP_RNA from 2 species
GCUGGUAGUCUGCGCCUGUAAUCCUAGCUACUGGGGAGGCUGAGGAGAGAGGAUCGCUUGAGCCCAGGAGUUCUGGGCUGUAGUGCACUGUGUCACUAGAUAGAGUGUCUGCACUUAAGUUCAGGAGGGAGGGACCACCCAGGUUGCCUAAGGAGGGAUGAACCGGCCCAGGUCGGAGAUGGAGCAGGUCAAAACUCCCGUGCUGAUCAGUAAUGGGAUCAUACCUGUGAACAGCCACUGCACUCCAGCCUGGGCAACAUGGGGAGACCCUGUCUCUA